UCGUCUCAUCUCUACUCUCAUAGACUGACAGCUCUGUUUGAACAGCGAGGGCAUUUACAGAGGAAACAGGGUCACAUGUCCCUCGGCACCAACUGCUUCACGGAACGGAUCAUCCACAGGAAGUUUGCCGUGUCAGUGAAGAUUGCUGACACUAAGGGCAGUCGAAAGUGCAGUGUGGCUCGUAACCCUUACACAGACAGCACGUUCUUGUGUGCUGCAGUUCCCUCUGGUCUUGUGCUAUUGUUGUGGUAUGAACCGCUGCAGAAGUUCAUGCAC